UUUUAUAUUUCCUUUGCUUAUAAAAAAAUGAUGAAAGUUGUCGCUUUAUUUUAUCUACACAAUAUUGUAUAUGCCUUGACUAAUUGCUCUCUAUAAAAUGAUCUUAAAUUGAUUUAAAUACCGACUCUUUUAAUUGUGGAGGUUAAAUGAAUGAAUUCUAGACCCACAACCUUUAUGUUGCUCUUUAAUUUAAGUUUACUGAUGAUCUGAUAACUUGAAUUGUUUUUAUUUAAAUUUAUUCAUAUGCUAUCUGCAUUCAUGAAUCUCUUUCAAAGUUCUACCCU
rnacentral:lncRNA from 1 species